UACAGAGGGUGCGAGCGUUAAUCGGAAUUACUGGGCGUAAAGCGUGCGUAGACGGUUAUUUAAGUCGGGUGUGAAAGCCCCGGGCUCAACCUGGGAAUUGCAUUCGAGACUGAAUAGCUAGGGUACGGUAGAGGGAAGCGGAAUUUCCGGUGUAGCGGUGAAAUGCGUAGAUAUCGGAAGGAACACCCGUAGCGAAGGCGGCACUCUGGGCCGGAACUGACGCUGAGGAGCGAAAGCGUGGGGAGCGAACAGG
rnacentral:rRNA from 1 species